UGCAUUUGUAUUUUUAUUUUUUUUUCAUAAAGACGUAACCAAAUAUUUUGGAUAUGUAUACAUGUAUAUUCCAUAUUGCAACUGAAUUAUAGAUGCCUUUAAUCAGAGUUGGCCAAGUUACUAUCCAGAGGAGGAAAGUGUCAGUUAUAUAGGUCUAGUUUGAACCCUUGGCAAAAGGUUAUGGCAGGAACCUUAUUUUAUAAACAAAAAACAAAGAUAAUUUUAAUUACCUGAAGGCAAGACAGAAGUUAAAAGACUCCUUAACUUGCUCAACAUGAGAUCUGCAGUCAGAAAAAGAGGACAAUGUGACAAAGCUAAAGAGAAAAAGGACGGCCAGAAUUUGGUUUGGCGACACCUAUAGCUAUAGUGAUGAUAGUGGGUUCAAGAAAGGGUUCAAGAAAGACAAUAAAAAGCUCCCUGCCAGCUGCACCAGCAGUACCUAGCCCACCUUCAAUUUCACCUGCUACACAAAGACCUCAAGUAAGUGCAUCACCUAGCCAGUCUCCAGAUGACUGUGUUGAAGACUUCAUUCAGUCGCCUUCAAUGAUGGCACAGACACCAAGGAGAGUCACUGCUGUACCCACUAGACUAGAUUUCCCUCGACCAUCAAGAAGUGAAAUGCUCACUUUUACUCCCACUGGUAGAGUUGGGAGGACUGGAACUGCAUCUAUUCCCUGCACUGCUGCUGAGUGCCAUAUAAUGACCAUGCUUGAGAACAUCAAACAGCAGCAGCUACAGCUUGCUGUUGUGAACAACCUGGUGGAACAGUCCAAGGUGUUCGUCAGGACAGCAGUCCAGAAAUGCCUGAAGAAAUCAGCUUUCCACUUGCUACGACUAGUGAAGUAGAUGAACUUGAGGAGUGGGUGAAGGAAGCCCAAAAUAGAGGAGCAAAAAAAACCAGCUAUGUUUAUUUACUUAUUAAAAUAUAUUCUGAUCCAUAGACCUUUACCUCAUCAUUUUUUAUCUAUUUUAUUUUUAUCAUAUUUCAGUGAAAUCAUGUUCCCAAAUUCAACUGUUUUGACCUAACCAGCGGGGGUUUCGCUGUCGCUCGUCACUCUCGUAAUUUGUGGAAUCGUCACUAGUGACAAUCGUUUCUGUUUGUACUAUAAAAAAAAUCCCUUUUGUUAGUCACACACAACGUCUCUUUUUUUCAAAAGUAGGGAUCGCUAAACCAUAGAGUCACUGCUGCUGAUCAGAUCAGCGCCUCAGCCUCUUGAUUCAUUAACUCUGCAACGUUCUCGUGGUAGUGACGUAAAUGCAGUCAACCAAUCGGCACCUCAGAUUCAUGUCGCAUGUCAGUUACCAUGGUAACUGAAAAAAUAGGAGCACGCUAAAAGAGCAAUGAUCUUGUAUUGCCGGUGUACUAUAGACUCAAGUAAAUAUACAGAAUAUCGUAAUAAGUCAAGCAUUCACCAAGCAUCUGCUGUUAAGCUUAUAUAUUUAUUAUUAUAACAUCAUAAUCAUAUAAAACAAUGAAGCGAAUUCAUGUAGACGCGUGUAGUAACAGUUUAUUACGAUCUCCACCUCGACGUGGGGUAUGAACCACUUCAAUCCUCAUAAAUCUGAGAGUACAAACGCUAUGUUGUUGUUCAUUUAAAAUGUCUCUCUACAGCUGAUCGGAUGUCAUUAUUCCUAAUAGCGCUUUUAUGUUCACUUCUACGCGUUUUCAAUUCCCUAAUGGUCUUACCCACAUAGCACAGACCACAAGGGCAUUUCAACAAAUAGACUACAAACUUGGUAACUCAAGUAAUCCUACCUAUUACUUUAAACUGCUUAUUAGUUUUAGGAUGGGUAAUUGGAUCGCUUUUUAUCAUUGCAUUGCAACAAGCGCAAUUGUGACAAUUAAAGUUACCUUGCGGUAUCUGUGUUAAAACGUGAGACAAUGGAAUAAAAGUCUGCUUUAACAAAUACAUUUCUAAGAUUUAUUUGUCUUUAAUGGAAAACAUGGAGGAUACUGUAAAACAGAUCUUAAUUUGGGAUCGGUUGACAAUAUUUGCCAAUGAGUCUGUAUUAUGUUUUUCAUUGUAUUUGACAAAUACUGUUAGAUGUCGAUGGCCCCUCUCCUACAUUGAGUGCAGACUCAGAGUACCUCUUGCCGAAUGUUAUGUUGAGGUAAAAUGUUUUGAUUUUUUUUUUCUGUAACAAUCAUUACAUUUGUGUUGUAAAACAUGGGCUUGUAUGUUUUAAAGGGUAACUAAAGAUGUGUUUUUAUUGUUACAUGUUCCUCUGUGUUGCUACAAGGUGCAGAUAUUAAUUUUGUUUUGGACAUCUUGCCCAUUUUUUUUUUUUUUACACUUUUAAAUUGCAUUCCACGUUGGUUCUGUCCUCAAGAUGGCUUUGCAUCUCCCUGCGCAGAAAUACAUUUCCCAUCAUCCUCCAGCUCAUGAGCAGGAGGAUGACUGCAAAUGUACUUCUGAGCAGGGAGAUGAGAAGCCAUGUGAUUAAAACAAUACUCACGCCUUACUGAAACAGCUGUAGCAACGUAUGAGAACAUGUAGCAUACAACAAAAUACCUUGUGUUACCCUUUAAACUCGCAUGUAUUAUUGUUGUUUUAGUUGGGAACCUCUAUUGAAGGCUCCUUGAAGCCGAGUGACCAGAAAAACCAUCAGCUUGCCAGGACUCAAGCCUAUCUUCUGAGUAUUGGAGAUUGUGCUCCUGAGAAAUCCUUUUAUAUUAGAUCAGGUGGACAUGCAGUAAUUGUUGAACCCAAGAAGAUAAGCUCUGCCCUUGUACAGCCGGUCCAGUUUUAUGACAUGACAAAUGUGCGCUAUCCUCCCAAGCUCAGUAAAUUCUUCAGCUUUCUAGAAGUGUUUCUCUUUGGCAUAAACACUGUAUUAAUUGCUCAGAGCAAUUCCUUAUGGGGCAGCAUCCUAAAAGGUGGAUGUUCCAGAAAAGGAGUCCCACACAAGCAGAACAUUGCUGCCACUGUUAAAGGGGAACUGAAGGCAUUUUGUUUCAUUCUUGUUAUUGUUACAUGUUCCUGUGUGUUGCUAUGAACUGGUUAAGUAAGUUGUGUGUAUUGUUAUAUAUAUUUAUUUAUUUUGACCACUUUUUUUUAAACGUAUAAAUUGUCCUCCACUCAAGAUGUCUUGUCAUGCACCUACUCAAAACAUUUCCCAUCAUCCUCCUGCUAACGUGACUACAAUGGCUUUAGGGUGGGUGAUGGGAAAUGUAGUUUUGAGCAGGUGCAUGACAAGGCAUCUUGGAGCUAUCUUGUCAUGCUGGGCACGUGCGUCUGAUAAUAAAUAAAGAAUAAUCUUGGAGGCAAAAAAUUCCUUUAACAGCAGCAGCAUUUUUUUUUAGCCUGACCUCACAUAACUGCUGUUCAUCUUUCAUUUACUUCCCAGCUGAGGAAAAAGUGGCUCACCAGAUCUUAAAAAAUACUGAAUUAAUGUGAUUUAAUAUCUGUUAAAUAUGGACUAUUGUCUUGUCAUUUGGACCAUUUACCUUGUAUUUUGG